AGCAGCCGCGGUAAUUCCAGCUCCAAUAGCGUAUAUUAAAGUUGUUGCAGUUAAAAAGCUCGUAGUUGAAUUUCGGGGUUCUACCGUUGGUCGGGCAAUAGUCUGUACUGGCGUGUGGAAUUUCUACCUUCUGGGGAACCAUCAUGUUAUUAAUUUAGCGUGGUGGGAAACCAGGACCUUUACCUUGAAAAAAUUAGAGUGUUCAAAGCAGGCUUACGUCUGAAUACAUUAGCAUGGAAUAAUAAAAUAGGACGGUGGUCCUGUUUUGUUGGUUUCUGAAUCACCGUAAUGAUUAAUAGGGGUAGUUGGGGGCAUUAGUAUUCAAUUGUCAGAGGUGAAAUUCUUGGAUUUAUUGAAGACUAACUUCUGCGAAAGCAUUUGCCAAGGAUGUUUUCAUUAAUCAAGAACGAAAGUUAGGGGAUCGAAGACGAUCAGAUACCGUCGUAGUCUUAACCAUAAACUAUGCCGACUAGGGAUCGGACGAUGUUAAUUUUUCUUGACUCGUUCGGCGCCUUACG
rnacentral:rRNA from 1 species